rnacentral:lncRNA from 1 species
CGAAAUUUGGGACCAAGGUAAACGAAACUUGGACAAAGUCAAUUCCAUUAGUUGCGAGGGGAAAUUGAACUUGUGAGGAAGUUUACCUGGAUAGCUGUUGGAAACCAGCUUUAAAAAGCUACAGAAUAUAGCAAAUUAGCAAUACAUCCAGCCAAUUUGGAGUUACAGAGUGCAUAUCCUUCUUUUACCCAUUAUAAUUUAUCAACAGCUUAGUCUUUCUUUCAGCAGCAGCAGUAUUCAGCAGCAGACAGCAGCAGAAAGAUCAGCAGCAGCAGUAGGAUUCAGCAGCAGCAGACAGCAAUACAACAACAACAUCAGACAACAAUACAACAACAACAGCAGACAACAAUACAACAUCAACAGCAGACAGCAGCAUUCUGCUUAACAAAAAGAAGAAAGAUCAACAGCUUAACUAAAAGAAGAAAGAAGAAGAAAGAUAAGCAACAGCAGUAGGAUUCAGCAGUAGCAGACAGCAAUACGACAACAACAACAGACAAAAAUACAACAGCAACAGUAGGAUUCAGCACAGAUAGCAGACAGCAGCAUUCAGCAUAUAGCAAAUUAGCAAUACAUCCAGCCAAUCUGGAGUUACAGAGUGCAUAUCCUUCUUUUACCCAUUAUAAUUUAUC